GAUGAACGCUGGCGGCGUGCCUAAUACAUGCAAGUCGAGCGAAUGGAUUAAAAGCUUGCUCUUAUGAAGUUAGCGGCGGACGGGUGAGUAACACGUGGGUAACCUGCCCAUAAGACUGGGAUAACUCCGGGAAACCGGGGCUAAUACCGGAUAAUAUUUUGAACUGCAUGGUUCAAAGUUGAAAGGCGGCUUCGGCUGUCACUUAUGGAUGGACCCGCGUCGCAUUAGCUAGUUGGUGAGGUAACGGCUCACCAAGGCAACGAUGCGUAGCCGACCUGAGAGGGUGAUCGGCCACACUGGGACUGAGACACGGCCCAGACUCCUACGGGAGGCAGCAGUAGGGAAUCUUCCGCAAUGGACGAAAGUCUGACGGAGCAACGCCGCGUGAGUGAUGAAGGCUUUCGGGUCGUAAAACUCUGUUGUUAGGGAAGAACAAGUGCUAGUUGAAUAAGCUGGCACCUUGACGGUACCUAACCAGAAAGCCACGGCUAACUACGUGCCAGCAGCCGCCGUAA
rnacentral:rRNA from 1 species